GACGGAGGGUGCUAGCGUUGUUCGGAAUUACUGGGCGUAAAGGGCGCGUAGGCGGCUGCUCAAGUCGGGUGUGAAAGCCCGGGGCUCAACCCCGGAACGGCACCCGAGACUGGGCGGCUCGAGACCGGGAGAGGAGGGUGGAAUACCCAGUGUAGAGGUGAAAUUCGUAGAUAUUGGGUGGAACACCGGUGGCGAAGGCGGGUCUCUGGGCCGAUACUGACGCUGAGGAGCGAAAGCGUGGGGAGCGAACAGG
rnacentral:rRNA from 1 species